CACGUAGGGCGCAAGCGUUGUCCGGAAUUAUUGGGCGUAAAGAGCUCGUAGGCGGUCUGUCGCGUCGGAUGUGAAAGCCCGGGGCUUAACCCCGGGUCUGCAUUCGAUACGGGCAGACUAGAGUGUGGUAGGGGAGAUCGGAAUUCCUGGUGUAGCGGUGAAAUGCGCAGAUAUCAGGAAGAACACCCGUGGCGAAGGCGGCUCUCUGGGACGGUACUGACGCUGAGACGCGAAAGCGUGGGGAGCGAACAGG
rnacentral:rRNA from 1 species